rnacentral:lncRNA from 1 species
AUGGCGGUGGUUCCAUUGGUCCUGCUUGCACGGUUUCUGGGUGUGUUUCUGCUGGCUUCUGCGAACCAUCUGCCUUGGCUAUGCGAUUCAGUUCACCCGGCGUCCCCCCAAGUUCAGCGGCAUCCGCUUCACUACAGUGAAGGCAGCCGAUGCUCCUGUCUUGUGUGUGGAGGUUGCAGUCCUACUGGUGAAGGAUGCGAUAGAGCCUGCCCCUUAAGCCGAUAUGAGGACGCGGUUUUACAGCCCUUACUUCAUUGUACCCAAAAAAGGCAGUGGGUUUUGUCCAAUCUUGGUCCUGCGCGUCUUGAACCGGGCCCUUCAUCGGUUUCCGUUCAAGUUGCUAACACAGAAACGCAUCUUUGGGUGCGUCCAUCCCUGAGAUUGGUUUGCAGCAAUCGACCUGAAGGACGAGUACUUUCGUGUGUCGAUCCUUCCGCGCCACAGACCAUUUCUGUGGUUUGCGUUCGAAGGACGGGCAUAUCAGUACAAGGUUCUGCCCUUUGGGCUGUCCCUGUCUCCCCGUGUCUUCACAAAAGUCACGGAAGCGGCUCUUGUUCCCCUCAGAGAACAGGGUGUUUGCAACCUCAACUAAUUCGACGGUUGGCUUAUACUAACAGUCAACUGGGAAAAGAGCAAACUCUCCCAGACACUGAGGAUCUCUUUUCUCGGUAUGGAGUUAGAUUUGUUCGAACAGACAGCACACCUCACAGAGGAAAGUGCGCGGUCGGUGCUGACCUGCUUGAAUUUGAUCAAGGGCAGGAUGGCGGUCCCACUGAUUCUAUUUUAGAGGCUCCUGUGGCAUAUGGCAGCUGCAGCUGCAGCGGCACUUUCACCACUAUGGCUAUUGCAUAUGAGACCGUUUCAGCAAUGGUUUCAUGGCACAGAUGUCUAUACCACCGGCUGGAGGGCCACGUACAACGGGCACACAGGUAUAGGGGUUUGGACGGGCCCCCAUCUGCACUGGCAUAUCAACUGCCUAGAGUUGUUAGCAGUGCGCCUUGCCUUGAACCAUCUCAAAGGGUGCUUAUGAGGCAAGAACGUGCUGGUCUGAAUGGACAACACAGUGAACCGUUGCGUAUAUCAAUCGACAUGGUGGUCUGCGUUCCCGUCGCAUGUCACAACUCGCCCGCCACCUCCUCCUUUGGAGUCGGAAGGUUCUGA